UAGGGAAUCUUCCGCAAUGGACGAAAGUCUGACGGAGCAACGCCGCGUGAGUGAAGAAGGAUUUCGGUUCGUAAAACUCUGUUGUUAGGGAAGAAAAAAUGUAUAGUAACUAUAUACAAAAGAGACGGUACCUAACCAGAAAGCCACGGCUAACUACGUGCCAGCAGCCGCGGUAAUACGUGGGUGGCAAGCGUUGUCCGGAAUUAUUGGGCGUAAAGCGCGCGCAGGUGGUUUAGAAAGUCUGAUGUGAAAGCCCACGGCUCAACCGUGGAGGGUCAUUGGAAACUAAUAAACUUGAGUGCAGGAGAGAAAAGUGGAAUUCCUAGUGUAGCGGUGAAAUGCGUAGAGAUUAGGAGGAACACCGGUGGCGAAAGCGGCUUUUUGGCCUGCAACUGACACUGAGGCGCGAAAGCGUGGGGAGCAAACAGG
rnacentral:rRNA from 1 species